GGGAAUCCGGUGCGAAUCCGGAACUGUCCCGCAACGGUGUAUUCAGUGUGCUUUUGCACACCCGAAGUCCGACGACC
rnacentral:ncRNA from 2 species